CCGUGCUUAACACAUGCAAGUCGAACGCGAAAGUUUCUCUUCGGAGAGGCGAGUAGAGUGGCAGACGGGUGAGUAACACGUGGGUAACCUACCCCUAGGCGGGGGAUAACAGCUCGAAAGGGCUGCUAAUACCGCAUAAGACCACGGAUCUUCGGGUUAGUGGUUAAAGUCUUCGGACACCAAGGGAGGGGCCCGCGGUUGAUUAGCUUGUUGGUGGGGUAAAGGCCUACCAAGGCUACGAUCAAUAGCUGGUCUGAGAGGAUGAUCAGCCACACUGGUACUUAGACACGGACCAGACUCCUACGGGAGGCAGCAGUGGGGAAUAUUGCGCAAUGGGCGAAAGCCUGACGCAGCAACGCCGCGUGUGUGAAGAAGGCCCUCGGGUCGUAAAACACUGUCAGGUGGGAAGAACCCUGCCCUUGAGGCAGCUGACGGUACCACCAAAGGAAGCACCGGCUAACUCCGUGCCAGCAGCCGCGGUAAU
rnacentral:rRNA from 1 species